CGGGACGUGGCGCAGGGGUAGCGCGCCUGCUCGGGGAGCAGGAGGCCGCACGUUCGAAUCGUGCCGUUCCGA
rnacentral:tRNA from 1 species